CCUACGGGAGGCAGCAGUGGGGAAUUUUCCGCAAUGGGCGAAAGCCUGACGGAGCAACGCCGCGUGAGGGACGAAGGCCUCUGGGCUGUAAACCUCUUUUCUCAAGGAAGAAGAUAUGACGGUACUUGAGGAAUAAGCCACGGCUAAUUCCGUGCCAGCAGCCGCGGUAAUACGGGAGUGGCAAGCGUUAUCCGGAAUUAUUGGGCGUAAAGCGUCCGCAGGCGGCUUUUCAAGUCUGCUGUUAAAGCGUGGAGCUUAACUCCAUCAUGGCAGUGGAAACUGAAAGGCUUGAGUAUGGUAGGGGCAGAGGGAAUUCCCGGUGUAGCGGUGAAAUGCGUAGAUAUCGGGAAGAACACCAGUGGCGAAGGCGCUCUGCUGGGCCAUUACUGACGCUCAUGGACGAAAGCCAGGGGAGCGAAAGGGAUUAGAUACCCUUGUAG
rnacentral:rRNA from 1 species